rnacentral:rRNA from 1 species
UCGGAUUGUAGUCUGCAACCCGACUACAUGAAGCUGGAAUCGCUAGUAAUCGCGAAUCAGAAUGUCGCGGUGAAUACGUUCCCGGGUCUUGUACACACCGCCCGUCACACCAUGGGAGUUGGAAAUGCCCGAAGUCAGUGACCCAACCGAAAGGAGGGAGCUGCCGAAGGCAGGUCCGGUAACUGGGGUGAAGUCGUAACAAGGUACC